GUCUCUGUGGCGCAAUCGGUGAGCGCGUUCGGCUGUUAACUGAAAGGUUGGUGGUUCGAGCCCACCCAGGUGACG